rnacentral:rRNA from 1 species
GGGUUGUGAGGUUAAGCGACUAAGCGUACACGGUGGAUGCCCUGGCAGUCAGAGGCGAUGAAGGACGUGCUAAUCUGCGAAAAGCGUCGGUAAGGUGAUAUGAACCGUUAUAGCCGGCGAUGUCCGAAUGGGGAAACCCAGUGCAAUUCGUUGCACUAUCGUUAACUGAAUACAUAGGUUAACGAGGCGAACCGGGGGAACUGAAACAUCUAAGUACCCCGAGGAAAAGAAAUCAACCGAGAUUCCCCCAGUAGCGGCGAGCGAACGGGGAGCAGCCCAGAGUCUGAAUCAGCUUGUGUGUUAGUGGAACGGUCUGGAAAGUCCGACGGUACAGGGUGAUAGUCCCGUACACCAAAAUGCACAGGCUGUGAACUCGAAGAGUAGGGCGGGACACGUGGUAUCCUGUCUGAAUAUGGGGGGACCAUCCUCCAAGGCUAAAUACUCCUGACUGACCGAUAGUGAACCAGUACCGUGAGGGAAAGGCGAAAAGAACCCCGGCGAGGGGAGUGAAAAAGAACCUGAAACCGUGUACGUACAAGCAGUGGGAGCACCUUCGGGUGUGACUGCGUACCUUUUGUAUAAUGGGUCAGCGACUUAUAUUCUGUAGCAAGGUUAACCGUAUAGGGGAGCCGCAGGGAAACCGAGUCUUAACUGGGCGUUAAGUUGCAGGGUAUAGACCCGAAACCCGGUGAUCUAGCCAUGGGCAGGUUGAAGGUUGGGUAACACUAACUGGAGGACCGAACCGACUAAUGUUGAAAAAUUAGCGGAUGACUUGUGGCUGGGGGUGAAAGGCCAAUCAAACCGGGAGAUAGCUGGUUCUCCCCGAAAGCUAUUUAGGUAGCGCCUCGUGAACUCAUCUUCGGGGGUAGAGCACUGUUUCGGCUAGGGGGUCAUCCCGACUUACCAACCCGAUGCAAACUACGAAUACCGAAGAAUGUUAUCACGGGAGACACACGGCGGGUGCUAACGUCCGUCGUGAAGAGGGAAACAACCCAGACCGCCAGCUAAGGUCCCAAAGUCAUGGUUAAGUGGGAAACGAUGUGGGAAGGCACAGACAGCCAGGAUGUUGGCUUAGAAGCAGCCAUCAUUUAAAGAAAGCGUAAUAGCUCACUGGUCGAGUCGGCCUGCGCGGAAGAUGUAACGGGGCUAAACCAUGCACCGAAGCUGCGGCAGCGACACUAUGUGUUGUUGGGUAGGGGAGCGUUCUGUAAGCCUGCGAAGGUGUGCUGUGAGGCAUGCUGGAGGUAUCAGAAGUGCGAAUGCUGACAUAAGUAACGAUAAAGCGGGUGAAAAGCCCGCUCGCCGGAAGACCAAGGGUUCCUGUCCAACGUUAAUCGGGGCAGGGUGAGUCGACCCCUAAGGCGAGGCCGAAAGGCGUAGUCGAUGGGAAACAGGUUAAUAUUCCUGUACUUGGUGUUACUGCGAAGGGGGGACGGAGAAGGCUAUGUUAGCCGGGCGACGGUUGUCCCGGUUUAAGCAUGUAGGCUGAUUGUCCAGGCAAAUCCGGAUAAUCAAGGCUGAGGUGUGAUGACGAGGCACUACGGUGCUGAAGUAACAAAUGCCCUGCUUCCAGGAAAAGCCUCUAAGCAUCAGGUAACAUUAAAUCGUACCCCAAACCGACACAGGUGGUCAGGUAGAGAAUACCAAGGCGCUUGAGAGAACUCGGGUGAAGGAACUAGGCAAAAUGGUGCCGUAACUUCGGGAGAAGGCACGCUGGUGUGUAGGUGAAGUCCCUGCGGAUGGAGCUGAGACCAGUCGAAGAUACCAGCUGGCUGCAACUGUUUAUUAAAAACACAGCACUGUGCAAACACGAAAGUGGACGUAUACGGUGUGACGCCUGCCCGGUGCCGGAAGGUUAAUUGAUGGGGUUAUCCGUAAGGAGAAGCUCUUGAUCGAAGCCCCGGUAAACGGCGGCCGUAACUAUAACGGUCCUAAGGUAGCGAAAUUCCUUGUCGGGUAAGUUCCGACCUGCACGAAUGGCGUAAUGAUGGCCAGGCUGUCUCCACCCGAGACUCAGUGAAAUUGAACUCGCUGUGAAGAUGCAGUGUACCCGCGGCAAGACGGAAAGACCCCGUGAACCUUUACUAUAGCUUGACACUGAACAUUGAGCCUUGAUGUGUAGGAUAGGUGGGAGGCUUUGAAGCGUGGACGCCAGUCUGCGUGGAGCCAACCUUGAAAUACCACCCUUUAAUGUUUGAUGUUCUAACGUUGGCCCCUUACCGGGGUUGCGGACAGUGUCUGGUGGGUAGUUUGACUGGGGCGGUCUCCUCCUAAAGCGUAACGGAGGAGCACGAAGGUUAGCUAAUCCUGGUCGGACAUCAGGAGGUUAGUGCAAUGGCAUAAGCUAGCUUGACUGCGAGCGUGACGGCGCGAGCAGGUGCGAAAGCAGGUCAUAGUGAUCCGGUGGUUCUGAAUGGAAGGGCCAUCGCUCAACGGAUAAAAGGUACUCCGGGGAUAACAGGCUGAUACCGCCCAAGAGUUCAUAUCGACGGCGGUGUUUGGCACCUCGAUGUCGGCUCAUCACAUCCUGGGGCUGAAGUAGGUCCCAAGGGUAUGGCUGUUCGCCAUUUAAAGUGGUACGCGAGCUGGGUUUAGAACGUCGUGAGACAGUUCGGUCCCUAUCUGCCGUGGGCGCUGGAGAAUUGAGGGGGGCUGCUCCUAGUACGAGAGGACCGGAGUGGACGCAUCACUGGUGUUCGGGUUGUCAUGCCAAUGGCACUGCCCGGUAGCUAAAUGCGGAAGAGAUAAGUGCUGAAAGCAUCUAAGCACGAAACUUGCCCCGAGAUGAGUUCUCCCUGAGACUUUAAGUCUCCUGAAGGAACGUUAAAGACGAUGACGUUGAUAGGCCGGGUGUGUAAGCGCAGCGAUGCGUUGAGCUAACCGGUACUAAUGAACCGUGAGGCUUAACCUUACAACGCCGAAG